AGGUGCUCAGGGAGUAUUGUGAAGUAAGGAAACAACAUGAUUAUGACGCAGCAUCACCUUGAUGGGGACCCACGGGCAACCCUGGGAGCCCCAGGAUGGUCACCAGACCGCAGAAACAGAUCGCAGAAACGAUCUCAAUAUUUAGAAGCUAUCUGAGCGCGAGCCAUAUGUGUUUUUCACCUCUUUACAGACAAAACUAUCAAGUGUGUAAUUAAGGCAUAUUCAGCGGCAACUGAAUGUGAUACCGGACAGUGCACGAGGUGGCCUGUUACCCAGAAGACUUUCUCCCUGGGAAUGAAAGGAAAUCGGCCCUGCCGGGGAGUCCUGGGCGUCCACCCGGCUGCACUUCACGUGUGACCUCCUUUGAUACACGACCUUCCGAGCGUUGGCCCAGCCCUUGCCCCACCCUCCGUCUCCCCGGAGGAGCCCCUCCCGUCCGAGUCGGUGGCGCUGACCUCGAGGCCAGGGCGGCGUGCGUGUGACUCCGCCCCUCCACGCCCAUGGCCGCGGCUGAUUGGUCCAGGAAAGCCUACCUGAUCCAAGCGGGCCAAUCAGAUCCUUCGGGGGAUACGGACUGGCACAACUCGUUCAGGCUGGUCCCUGACCUAAGAAAGGGUCAACCUGUUGACUGUAAAGUAACUGCCUUUCCCCUCAUUGCUGUUUGCACAAGAGAAAAGAAGCAGGAAGCUGUGCGCAGGCCGGGGAAGGGUGAGGGAGUGAUGAAGGUUUGCAGAGGAGAGUUCUCGCGCUCUGCCCGAAUUCAUACUUCCGGUAAUUCCUGCCUUGUUUCAACGAGCCCGCGAAAUUGCUGUUACUUGCGGUCAAAUCGGCCUUAUUAAAGCACUUCAGUUGGCAAAUGUAAAUAAAGUACCACAAAGCCCCUGAAUGUGUUGCUUUUAUUGUCAUUGUUGAAAAUGACGGAGCUCAAAGGCACAGAGCCACCGAGGUCAGGGGAAUGUCCACAAUGGAAGCGUGAGGUCAUCUGUCUCUUUGUCCUGAAAUCACUUCCCUGUGGUGAAAAGGGCUUCCCCCAGAAGAAACGUGCUCUGAAAAGGACUUUAUUAAACCUGGAUUUAGAUUUGUCCAGUGGUGUGCUGGCAAAUGUUUGACGACUGGUUCUUCAGAAAUCCAAAGACAUUCAUUAUACACAAAGUCAAAACAGCAAAUCAAGCCUUGUUACCAAUGUGAUGUCACCAAACACAGAGUUGGGAAGAGAUGUGCCGAAGCACAUCGUUAUGUCAAGUUUCCAUUAGACAGAGACCAUCGACGCGGAUGACCUCAAGAGACUCGAUGAUGGCAAAAUGUAAAAUCACGAGGAAGUGAAGAGUUUUGAGUCUUGUCUUUAUUUUAAUAAACUGCAUUUGAUUGUAAAGAUUA